ensembl:rRNA 5S_rRNA 5S ribosomal RNA
CCUAAAAGACAUGUAAAAAUUUAUUCACAAGCCCAAUCCCGUCUGAUCUCAGAAGCUAAGCAGGGUCGGGCUUGGUUAGUACUUGGAUGGGAGACCACCUAGGAAGACCAGGUGCUGUAGGC